UAAACUAGGAUUAGAUACCCUAUUAUUUUAUAUGUAAAUUUUAUCCAGGGUAGUAUUAGUUAUGUUCUUUAAACCUAAAGGAUUUGGCGGUGUUUUAGUCUUUUCAGAGGAAUCUGCCCCGUUAUCGAUAAUCCCCGAUUAAUUCUUUCUUAAAUUUGCAUUUCAGUAUGUAUACCGCCGUUAUAAGUUUAUUUUAUAAGAUUUAAUUUACUUAAUUUUUUAUUAAAGUUUAUUUCAGGUCAAGGUGCAGCUUAUGUUUAAGUGGAGGUGGAUUACAAUAUUUUUAAAUAUACGGAUUUGAUUUUGAAAUGAUUAAUGAAGGUGGAUUUGUUAGUAAUUUUAUUUAUUUUAAUUCUAUGAUUUUGGCUCUAAAAUAAGUACACAUCG
rnacentral:rRNA from 1 species